rnacentral:misc_RNA from 1 species
AAGUCGUAACAAGGUUUCCGUAGGUGAACCUGCGGAAGGAUCAUUAAAAAGAUUAUAAAUCAUAAACUUCUUGUGCAUUUGUAUAAGUAUUGGCCUUUCCGGUUGAGGUUUUACAGGGUUUUAGACAUUUAAUAAAUUGAAAAUUUAUUUUUAAUGAUUGGACAAAAAGUUAUUUUGGACAAUAAUUAAAUUUAGGUUAGCAAUUUUUAUUUUUCUAAGACUUUCUUGACCGGGAGGUUUUGUUAAAACUAUUUUAUUUUUCAACUUUAUAAAGUUAAUAACCUGGGUGCAAUAAUUUUUUAUUGUUCACAGUUAAAAUUAUUAAUAAAAAACAACUUUCAACAAUGGAUCUCUUGGCUCUC